rnacentral:lncRNA from 13 species
GGAGGUAAUGGGACGAAAGUGACGGUAUGGCCGGGGUAAACAUGGUCUCCGCUUGCCGCUGGCAUUACCCAAAGGGUUUCACUCUCAGGAGGUCAAAUGUUUAGCUGUAUCUGCAUCUGUAAAUUCGAUUUUUUGUUUUCUUUCUGUCCAUGUAUGUAUUAGGAGGGUAGGGGUUACAUAGUACACCAUGUAUGUAUUAGGAGGGUAGGGGUUACACAGUACACCAUGUAUGUAUUAGGAGGGUAGGGGUUACACAGUACACCAUGUAUGUAUUAGGAGGGUAGGGGUUACACAGNNNNNNNNNNCUCUCUCUCUCUCUCUCUCUCUCUCUCUCUCUCUCUCUCUCUCUCUCUCUCUCUCUCUCUCUCUCUCUCUCUCUCUCUCUCUCUCUCUCUCUCUCUCUCUCUCUCUCUCUCUCUCUCUCUCUCUCUCUCUCUAUAUAUAUACACUGUUAUUUACGAUGGUCUUUUAUGAGCGUCUCUCCUGCUUCGCACUUCUAACAGCUCCAGACUAGUGGAGAGACACCUGGCUACACUGUUGGCGAGGCUUUUCACCUGGGCUGUAUCAUUACUGUAGCAUUUCAGCUAAAUGAUGCAGAAGCAUCAGUACUCAGUGGAGGGGUGUCAUUGACUUGUCUUUCCACUAGUGUAUCUACUCUGUGUAAUGACGACAUGACAGUGUGAGAGGACAACUGUUGCUGACCCCUAUCUUUUUCCUCUCCCCCUCUCUCUCUGUCUCUCUCCCCCCCUCUCUCUCUGGCUCUCUGUCUCUCUCCCCCUCUCUCUCUGGCUCUCUGUCUCUCUCUCCCCCUCUCUCUCUGGCUCUCUGUCUCUCUCACCCCCUCUCUCUCUGGCUCUCUGGCUCUCUGUCUCUCUGUUAGGAGCGAGUGAUUGAGCGUUUGCGUGAGCAGAAGGAGCGGGAGGACAGGGCACGGCUGGAGGAGGUGGAAAGGAUGAGGAAGGAGAACCAGGACCUGAAGGAUAGACUCUCCAUCCUGACGACACACACACCUGGGAAUACGGAAGAGUCAACCAGGAAGUUGUUAGAGGUCAGCGACAGGAUCAAGCUGCUGGAGGAGGAAGUGACGCGCUACCGAGAAGAGUCUGGGAAGUC